AUCCCAGAGUCCCAAAUAGGACGAAACGUGCGUCUUGGAU
rnacentral:hammerhead_ribozyme from 1 species